AAAAAAAUCUAUUCCUUAUGGCAAAGGAAAGGAAAAUGCACAUCCCAUGGCACACAAUGAUAAUGUGUUAUCAAAAGCUGCAUUGGCCCAACGUGCACGGCGAGAAUGUGAAAAAAAAUCAAAAGCCAUGUUCUGCAUACCAAUUGGGACAACGCCUGCGACGAGAACGAGAAAGAGAAAGAUCGAAGAAAUGUAUUAACCCAAAACAACCUUCUUUAACACCAAAUUGGUAAAAAGAAAAAGAAUUUUUUACCCAAGACAAUCUUGAAUUUUUUACUCUUACUAUUACCACUUUAUUAUAUAGAUUUUAAUUUGUUCACAAUCUAUUUCUGUAGGCCUCCUCCUACAACUCCAUGUAGAAAUGUUGGUGUGGUCAUCCGUGAUGAGCACGACCUUCAUGUUAUCCGUGUUCGUGCGGCAAAAGAUAAAGAAAAGGUCAACCCAAUGUCUAAAGGAAAAGAAAAGAUGGCUCCUUCCGGCAAGAGAAUGACAAAUGUAUGACAAGUGGUAUAUAUUCUUUUUUAAAAAUAUGAUGCA